GACGAACGCUGGCGGCGUGCUUAACACAUGCAAGUCGAGCGGUAAGGCUCCUUCGGGAGUACACGAGCGGCGAACGGGUGAGUAACACGUGAGCAAUCUGCCCUUCACUUCGGGAUAACUCCGGGAAACCGGUGCUAAUACCGAAUACGACCACUUCAGGCAUCUGAUGGUGGUGGAAAGUUCCGGCGGUGAAGGAUGAGCUCGCGGCCUAUCAGCUUGUUGGUGAGGAAUGGCCCACCAAGGCAACGACGGGUAGCCGGCCUGAGAGGGUGACCGGCCACACUGGGACUGAGACACGGCCCAGACUCCUACGGGAGGCAGCAGUGGGGAAUCUUGCGCAAUGGGCGAAAGCCUGACGCAGCGACGCCGCGUGAGGGAUGACGGCC
rnacentral:rRNA from 1 species